rnacentral:rRNA from 1 species
AGAGUUUGAUCAUGGCUCAGAACGAACGCUGGCGGCAGGCUUAACACAUGCAAGUCGAACGCCCCGCAAGGGGAGUGGCAGACGGGUGAGUAACGCGUGGGAAUCUACCCAGUUCUACGGAAUAACCCAGGGAAACUUGGACUAAUACCGUAUACGCCCUACGGGGGAAAGAUUUAUCGGAAUUGGAUGAGCCCGCGUUGGAUUAGCUAGUUGGUGGGGUAAUGGCCUACCAAGGCGACGAUCCAUAGCUGGUCUGAGAGGAUGAUCAGCCACACUGGGACUGAGACACGGCCCAGACUCCUACGGGAGGCAGCAGUGGGGAAUAUUGGACAAUGGGCGAAAGCCUGAUCCAGCCAUGCCGCGUGAGUGAUGAAGGCCUUAGGGUUGUAAAGCUCUUUCAGUGGGGAAGAUAAUGACGGUACCCACAGAAGAAGCCCCGGCUAACUUCGUG